AAGUCGAGGGGUAUAGUAGCAAUACUAGAGACCGGCGCACGGGUGCGUAACGCGUAUGCAAUCUACCUUAUACAGAGGGAUAGCCCAGAGAAAUUUGGAUUAAUACCUCAUAGCAUAGCAACUUCGCAUGAAGUCACUAUUAAAGUUCCAACGGUAUAAGAUGAGCAUGCGUCCUAUUAGCUAGAUGGUAAGGUAACGGCUUACCAUGGCUACGAUAGGUAGGGGUCCUGAGAGGGAGAUCCCCCACACUGGUACUGAGACACGGACCAGACUCCUACGGGAGGCAGCAGUGAGGAAUAUUGGACAAUGGGCGCAAGCCUGAUCCAGCCAUGCCGCGUGCAGGAAGACGCAUCUAUGGUGUGUAAACUGCUUUUGUACGGGAAGAAACACUCCCUCGUGAGGGAGCUUGACGGUACCGUAAGAAUAAGGAUCGGCUAACUCCGUGCCAGCAGCCGCGGUAAUACGGAGGAUCCAAGCGUUAUCCGGAAUCAUUGGGUUUAAAGGGUCCGUAGGCGGUUUGGUAAGUCAGUGGUGAAAGCCCAUCGCUUAACGAUGGAACGGCCAUUGAUACUGCCAGACUUGAAUUACUGGGAAGUAACUAGAAUAUGUAGUGUAGCGGUGAAAUGCUUAG
rnacentral:rRNA from 1 species